AUUGAACGCUGGCGGCAUGCCUUACACAUGCAAGUCGAACGGUAACAGGUCUUCGGAUGCUGACGAGUGGCGAACGGGUGAGUAAUACAUCGGAACGUGCCUAGUAGUGGGGGAUAACUACUCGAAAGAGUGGCUAAUACCGCAUGAGAUCUACGGAUGAAAGCAGGGGAUCGCAAGACCUUGUGCUACUAGAGCGGCCGAUGGCAGAUUAGGUAGUUGGUGGGAUAAAAGCUUACCAAGCCGACGAUCUGUAGCUGGUCUGAGAGGACGAUCUGCCACACUGUGACGGAGAGACGGCCCAGACUCCGACGGGAGGCAGAAGGGGGGAAUUUUGGAAAAUGGGCGCAAGCCUGAUCAAGCAAUGCCGCGUGCAGGAUGAAGGCCUUCGGGUUGUAAACUGCUUUUGUUCGAAACGAAAAGCCCUGGGUUAAUACCCUGGGGUCAUGACGGUACCGUAAGAAUAAGCACCGGCUAACUACGUGCCAGCCGCCGCCGUAACAC
rnacentral:rRNA from 1 species